rnacentral:lncRNA from 1 species
GAAAAAUGACUAGGUUACGCUGUUAAGGUCCUUGGGUUAUGCCAGGGAAGGUCAUCAGGUUAUGCUGAAAAAGGUCCUAGAGUUAUGCCGGGGAGGUUCACGGGUUAUGUUGGGAAAGUCAUUGGGUUAUGCCGAAAAAGAAAAAGGUCACCGGGUUAUGCCGGGGAGGUCCACGGGUUAUGUCGGGAAAGUCAUCGAGUUAUGCCGAAAAAAGAAAAAGGUCCUCGGGUUAUGCCGUAAAAAAAAAGGUCCUCGGGUUAUGCCGGGGAGGUCCACAGGUUAUGCAUGAAAAGUCAUCGGGUUAUGCCGGAAAAGAAAAAAGUCCAAGGAUUAUGCUAGGGAGGUCCACGGGUUAUGCCAGCAAAGUCAUCGGGUUAUACUGGAAAAGAAAAAAAAGGUUCUUGAGUUAUGUCGGGGAUGUCCGCGGGUUAUGUCAGGAAAGUCAAGGGGUUAUGCCGGAAAAGAAAAAAUAUCCUUGGGUUAUGCAGGGGAGGUCCACGGGUUAUG